UUUGGUGGCGAUAGCGAAGAGGUCACACCCGUUCCCAUGCCGAACACGGAAGUUAAGCUCUUCAGCGCCGAUGGUAGUCGGGGGUUUCCCCCUGUGAGAGUAGGACGGCCGCCAAGC
rnacentral:rRNA from 1 species